GCGAGUAUUAGAUUUGGCCUUUGCAUACAAGCAGAUUCUCUACCACCUAGCCCCUAUUCCCACCCUGUCCCUGUUUGUUGCAUGGUUUGUCUCUUGGGAUAGUCACGUUUAUUUACUUACUAUAUCAAAUUAUAAUUUUCAUUUAUAUGUUUAGCAUUCUUGUAGGCACUUGACAUAUGCCAGGUAGUACCAUGUUAGAUGCUGGCAGAUCGAGCAGGAACAGUAGUUUCGAUCCCUGCCUUCAUAGAAUUUAGCUUACAAGCUCUACAAGUUCUACAAGCCUACAGCUGUGAACACUGCUGUGAAAAUCUAAAUGAGCGUGAAAUGGGACCUGCCCCUCACUGUAGUAGGCAGCUGUGAUCAUAAAGUGAUGGACAGAGGUGGAUGCUGGUGGGGGAAAAAGGAUGCAGAGGAGCUUGUAGAAGCGGGAAGUGGGGAACAGAGCUAUGUGGUGUCCAUACAGUUAACAGUGGUUCACAGUUUGCCUUGUUGAAUAUCCAGGCGAAAGAUUUAGAGGUUGAGGGCAUUGGCUUCCCUGGAGCCUGAGUUAUAAAUGGUUGAGAGCCACCAUGUGGGUGCUGGGAACCAACUGAGUCCUCUGCAGGAGUAGUACCUACUUUUAACUGCUGAGCAGUCUUUCCAAUGUCUGUCUUUGCACUUUUAAAGCCACAUCAAAAAAGACAAAAACAAAAACAAAAAAAAAAAAAAACAAAUGCCAACAUUGGUGAUUUGUAUUAUUUGCCUAUAAACUGCAUAUUUUAUAGUCAUUGCUGACCUAUAUUCUCCUGUAUAGAUGCUUCAUAGUUUAUAACCACUCUCAGUUGUUAGGUUGUGGUGUGCUCAUGCAUGCAGUUGCUGGUAGUGGUGCUACUGUUGUUACCAGAGACUGAAUUGAGUCCAUCUUUGCCGUCUUUGUUUUCUAUUUUUCCUCUUGUGCUCAAGCAGUUCUGCUUUUACCUAAAGUAGCUGGGAUCACAGGUGUGCACCAGUGUGGGCAGUGCCAUAGUUGUUGAAUCUUUAGGUUGGUUCUGUUCUUUACUCAGGACUGUGUACUGUGGGUAGCAGUGAGUGCUGGUGGAGUGGACCUGUUUCUUCACACAGCUUUUCUCACAGGUUACUAUGCCUGCCACUGAUGUGUUGCAUUCUCGCAUUAAGGAGCUGGGGCUUUUCCAUAGUCCUAGCAGGUUGCUUGUUAGAUGACUCAACUGGAGACUCUUCCUGAUGUCCCCUUGUAUCCUAUCUCCUCCCUUGCAGGCAUUGGGGUCCCAUGGCAGUUGUAGCAGUGAGGUGGAAAAGGAGACCCAGGAGAAGAUGACCAUCCUCCAGAACUACUUUGAGCAGAACAGAGAUGAAGUCCUGGAUAACCUCUUGGCCUUUGUGUGUGACAUCCGGCCAGAAAUCCAUGAAAACUACCGCAUAAAUGGAUAGGAGGCAGACGCGCCUGCUUUGUGGGUUGGCAUGGGAUCUGUCCCCGUGGAAUAGGAAACCUGCAGAGCUCGAAUUGUAUUCUGGAAGACAUUAAAUUAUGUCUCUAUACUGUUGUAGGACCCUUCACUUUUUGAGAGUAUCAAAUCUAGCUUUUUGUACAGAUUUACUACGUACCUGAAGUUUCAUCUUCUUACCUUGUGUAUCUAUAAGAAGUAUAUGUCACCUUCCUGUGUGUUCGUGCAAGUAAUGGUUAUCAAUGUUGACUUUUCUUUUAUUAGUCUAGUAAAAAAAAAAAUUCUUUGAAGAAAGAAAGGGAGUGAAUUGCUCCCUUCUACUUUCUUAAAGGUCAGGGGCGUUAUCUAUGAAAAAGUAGUAAGUAGCCAUUUGUAAUUCCUAAGAAGCAGCCAGCCAUAUAGUGCUCUAUCCUGGAUCAUUUAGGACAAUGAUAUGCUUGUCCAGGUUGCUGUUAGUACAUCCUAACCCAAGUCACUAGAUGCUAGGACUCAGCUUGUUACAUGUUAUUUGGUGUGCUUGUAAUCAUUUAAAAGUAAAACUUUGUCUUGCCUUUCAUCCUCCUGGCUCCUCUUCUUGAUAAUACAAAGUAUAUCUUGACCCAG
rnacentral:lncRNA from 1 species